rnacentral:misc_RNA from 1 species
CGAAUCUAUAUCAUGCGCGGUUUAUAGGUGACGCGCUUAAAAUUAUUUGCUAUUCCAUGAGUGAUCAAUACUGUAAUAUUGUGGGUAUUUAAGCUUAAUAGACUUCCCUAGCGGGACAAAGAUACUAUUUAUUACAUUGUAUUGACUCGACUAAAUAUGAUGCUCCUUAAUUUGAAUGCUCCUAACCACCAUAUGAUACAGAUUGACAAAAGUGAACCUAAUUGUACUCAAAAUAAAGCAUUGACAUUGAGCAUUCUGACACAUUAGAACAACUUCACGUGAGUGGAUUACAGGCUUCUUUAAAGUUUGCUCUUCCUGUACUUUCAAUGGCAAGGUAAGACACCUGCAAACUCAAUUUGACGAAAAACGAGAUUAAUGAUGAUGACGAUUGUGAGGACGGUGUUUACCUUUGUGAUGACCAUCAAAAUCAAAAUUAUCAUAUGAAUGUUGGUAAGAUUGCCUCUGCUUCUUUUCAAUUUUGUGAUGCCUAUCAAGGGGAGAAUGUUCAAAUGAAGAUUGAUGCUUCAUCCUUGGGUUCUUACUUCUGUGAUGCUCAUCAGAAUCAGAUUCUUCAGACAAAUUAGAAUGCUUUUGCGUGCCCUUUGUACUUCUAUGAUGCCUGUCGCGGCCAUCAGAAUCAGAAGAAUAAGAAUGUUUAUAACUGCUCCUUUUACUCCUCUUAUGCCUGUCCCCAUCAGAAUUUUUAGAUGAAUUAGAAUGUUUGUGUCUGCUCUUCUUGGAAUGCCCAUCAAAGUUCAAAUCAUCAAAUGAAGGUGAUUCAGUAUGGUUCAGCUUCUUCUUGGACUUCUUUGAUCUCCUCUCUCUAUCAUCAGAAGGUGAAGACAACCCACUUUCUUCAGGAGCCCUAAAUUCUCUACUCGGUGAUGAAUCCCUCUUGUGUUUACACUUUUUUGACUUCUUUCUAGAUUUCUUUGGGGAAAAGUUGGUCAGCAACUCUGGUAUAUCACCACUGAGAAACCCUCCAUAUUCAUCAAAUAUAUCCUCAGCAACAAUUUGCUGAUUGGGAUCAUCUAGAUUGAAACCGCCACGAGGAGGACUCAUUCCUGGUUUUUGCUUCAACUCCCAUUUUAAUGGCUCAGCAGGAUCCAUGUGAGCCAUGAUGGCAGUCAAGGGAUCAUCUCUUUUUAAUCGGCUCUCUUCAUUAGGCAUUAUAGCAUCUUUCAAUGGACAUUCACGAUCACCACUUUGGUGACCAUAAUUGCCACAUCUUAUACAUUUCACAUUGCGUACUUCAAUACCAAAUGGCUUCACCCUUGCAGGAACACCUGUCUCCAUCCUGUAUGAUGUCACCAUUUGUAAAAUGUGAACAAGGGCUAACAACCACAUGGGAGCAUUUCAUGAAUGCAAAUGAUAACACUUGUACCAAAAACACAACUCCAAGUUACUAUAACUCAAGAAGAGCACCAAUUCAUAAUAUCAUCAUUUUGACCAUUCCACGGGAGUAUAAAGCAGAAAUAAGAUAAAGGUUCAUGAACAAAAAAAUUUCAGGUCCUAUUUUUUAUUUGGGCACUGAGAACACGUUUUACUAUAAACCAUGAAUUCAUUGAAAUCCAGUCUUCAUAUCCAAUUCUCAAAGAAUUCAAAACCUUAGGGAACUAAAUGUCCCAGCUCAAAGCAGCGGCUACAGUAUCGUAUAUUCAAUCAACUUAUGUACUAGUGUCAUCACCUCUAUUUUGACUACAGCUGCUACUAUCACCUUCACAAAAGCCCCCAUGCCUCCACCAAGUACAAAUUUUGAUAUUAUUAAAUUUUAGAAGGAUUCAAACAAAAGAAAUUUGAGUUGAUUCCAAUACUUUAAAAUCUUUGAUUUUAAGUCAUAAGACAUCAUAGUUAUCAAGAAUUCAAAUGCAGAACAAAAGAUCAGGACUUAUCUGUGAAUUCAUUUAAAUUCCCUCAAGCAAAGUGUUUUUGCUUUUAAGGUAACACAACCUUAAAACAAUAUGUAUAAUUUGCAACUUUAAUGUUGGCUUUAUUAUGUAAUUAGAAAGUAAAAAGAUAAAGAAUUAACAUGUUAUUUUGCAGGCAGGGUUGAGGGUUGCUCCUUUUAUUUUCAUCAGUCCCAUCUUCAUGAUGCAGCUUUUGUCUCUCUCCCCAUAGGCACAACCUAAGUCCUGAUCGUGAUCAAAGCACAUCUCAAAGAGAAGGAUCUCCUUACAACUAUUAUUCUUCUGCGAGCCAUUCUGGUAUGGGGAAAUUUAAUAAUUUUACAUUUUUGAAGGAUCAUUUAGCAAUUUUCUAUAUUUUUUUCUCUAUGAAGGGAGGUUCUUUAUAGAAGCAUAUUUUAUUUUAUUGAAUUUAAGUAUUUUCAGCGUGAGAACAUAGGGUUUUACAUCAAUGACUCUUUUCAUCUUUUUAUUCUUUUAUAU